rfam:Zea mays cultivar B73 chromosome 5, whole genome shotgun sequence.
GUGCUUGCAGGUGCAGCACCAUCAAGAUUCACAUCGUCCAACUCAUGCAUCAUGCAUAUAUGCAUCUUCAAUGAUGCGUGCCUCGCAUGUGUGUGUAUAUAUAUAUGAUGAGAUGAGAAUCUUGAUGAUGCUGCAUCAGCAGACAC